CAUUAUUUAUACAAAUGGAGUGCACUUUAUUGUGGCUCUGAACCUUUCACAUAAUCUUACCCCAAGACUUGUUUGUGUGGCAUCUUUUAGGUGACAUUGCACUCAGGUAUACGUAGCAGUUAUGCUACAUUCUCCCCCCCCCCMCCCUUUUUUUUUUAACAAUUUUUUUAACACAAGUUUGAGCUAAGAAUGUAAACAUUUAUUAAUUAUAUAAAUAACUUUUAACAAUGGAUCUCUAGGCUCUCAUAUCGAUGAAGAACACAGUGAAAUGUGAUAAGUAAUGUGAAUUGCAGAAUUCAGUGAAUCAUUGAAUCUUUGAACGCACCUUGCACCUUUUGGUAUUCCAAAAGGUACACCUGUUUGAGUGUCAUGAAAAUCUCUCAUCAAAAUAAUUUUUGGUGGAUGUUGAGUGCUGCUGCUAUCUAGCUCACUUUAAAUAUAUAAGUCUUUUUAUUCUUCUGUUUGUUGGAUUGACUUGGUGUAAUAUUUUUAUCAUCAAGGAAAGUAGCAAUACUUGCCCAAUGUUUUUGGAAAAAGGACUCCUAAAUUGAUUUUAAAUCAUUUUUAUUUUUAAG
rnacentral:rRNA from 1 species